GCGCCUGUAGCUCAGGUGGAUAGAGCAGCUGCCUUCUAAGCAGCGGGUCGGGAGUUCGAGUCUCUCCAGGCGCGCCA
rnacentral:tRNA from 4 species